AACUGCGAGUGAAGCGGGAAAAGCUCAAAUUUAAAAUCUGGCGGUUUUGUCGCCCGAGUUGUAAUCUGGAGAAGCGUUUUCCGUGCCGGACCGUGUACAAGUCUCUUGGAACAGAGCGUCAUAGAGGGUGAGAAUCCCGUCCAUGACACGGACUCCCGGUGCUUUGUGAUACGCUCUCGAAGAGUCGAGUUGUUUGGGAAUGCAGCUCAAAAUGGGUGGUAAGCUCCAUCUAAAGCUAAAUAUUGGCGAGAGACCGAUAGCGAACAAGUACCGUGAGGGAAAGAUGAAAAGCACUUUGGAAAGAGAGUUAAACAGUACGUGAAAUUGUUGAAAGGGAAACGCUUGAAGUCAGUCGCGUCUUACUUGACUCAGCCUUGCUUCGGCUUGGUGUAUUUCAAGUAGGAUGGGUCAACAUCGAUUUUGACCGGUGGACAAGGGGUUAAGGAAUGUGGCACUCUUCGGAGUGUGUUAUAGCCUUUUCUCAUAUACAUCGGUUGGGAUUGAGGCCCGCAGCGCGCCCUUGUGGCCGGAGGUUCGCCUCACGUAACGCGCUUAGGAUGUUGGCAUAAUGGCUUUAAGCGACCCGUCUUGAAACACGGACCAAGGAGUCUAACAUGCUCGCGAGUGUUAGGGUGGAAAACCCUUGCGCGUAAUGAAAGUGAAAGUUGAGACCCUCCGCAAGGGGGUGCAUCGACGCCCGGCCCUGAAGUUUACUGACGGUGCUGCGGUAGAGCGCGUAUGUUGGGACCCGAAAGAUGGUGAACUAUGCCUGAAUAGGGCGAAGCCAGAGGAAACUCUGGUGGAGGCUCGUAGCGAUUCUGACGUGCAAAUCGAUCGUCAAA
rnacentral:rRNA from 1 species